rfam:Otolemur garnettii contig011017, whole genome shotgun sequence.
AUGUGCUAGCUUCAGCAACAUAUAUACUAAAAAUUAGAAUGACACAGAGAAGAUAAACAUGGCCCCUGCACAAUGAUGACGUGCAAAUUUGUGAAGGGUUCCAUAUUUUU